CCUACGGGAGGCAGCAGUAAGGAAUAUUGGUCAAUGGACGAAAGUCUGAACCAGCCAUGCCGCGUGAAGGAUGAAGGUCCUCUGGAUUGUAAACUUCUUUUAUAGGGGACGAAAUACUCUCAAUCUUGAGAGGUUGACGGUACCCUAGGAAUAAGCACCGGCUAACUCCGUGCCAGCAGCCGCGGUAAUACGGAGGGUGCAAGCGUUAUCCGGAUUCACUGGGUUUAAAGGGUGCGUAGGUGGGCUUGUAAGUCAGUGGUGAAAUCUCCGUGCUUAACAUGGAAACUGCCAUUGAUACUAUAGGUCUUGAAUUUUCUGGAGGUUAGCGGAAUAUGUCAUGUAGCGGUGAAAUGCUUAGAUAUGACAUAGAACACCAAUUGCGAAGGCAGCUAGCUACAGGGAUAUUGACACUGAGGCACGAAAGCGUGGGGAUCAAACAG
rnacentral:rRNA from 1 species